GGCAUACUUGUCAGAUCAGGGAGGUUGUGUUUUCCCAGUAUCUCAGCAUCCUUUUUUGCUUUGUUUCCUUACAGGUGCUGUCACUGCCCUAGGUGUGCCAAGGAACAGAGGCAAGCGGGUAUCUUCUGGCCAGCCUCUGGAGUCGAAUCAAGAUUUGAGGUACCGUGAGGAGGUUUGUAGGCAAAGUUUGGAAAUGGCUGCACCAAAGCACAUGUCUCGAUGUCCACAUCCAACCGACGAUGGAUUUUGUUCGCUCAUCUUCCAAAAGCUAAG